UUUGAGUUUCUCUGGUGAAUCGCAGACGGACAGACGUCCUGCUGUCUUAAAACCGGCUUCGUCUUCGAACCCUGAACUGGAACGUUUGUUGAAGGUCUUCAUGAGGUCUGAUAGAGGGUCUGGUUUCUAGAUUUAUCCAUAUUGAGGCUGUCUCCACACAAACAGAAACCAUUGAUCCAAAUUAAAGGACAUUUACGCUCUUUUUUUCUGCUCUCAUUUAAAGUCCAGGUUAGGUCUGAGCGAUUUGGCAAAAAAAAUGAUCACGAUACAUUUUGCCAUAUCGUCCGAUCUCGAUUAUUAUCACGAUUUAUUUUUAACUGUCUGUUUUAGAGCAUCUGUACUAAAAACUAAAGAAACUAGAGAUAAGUUCAACAUUUUAUUUACAUACAAAGUAAAUAACAAAGAAUAAGAUAAACUUAGAAAAAUACCCAAAAAAAAAUUUCACUCAACAGAACAACAAAUGUAGAUAAAAUACUAGAUAAUACAGUGAAUUAGUUUACAGUCCUGAGUGUUUCUGCAGGUAUGACAGACCCAAAAUAAACAAAUCUCCCCCUCAGAGAUAAUGAAGACACUUUAAAAUGUAAACAUUAGAUGAUUUAAACGUAAAUCAUACGAUUAAUCGCUGCCUAGGUCUGGUGGCUGCACCGCUAGUUGUGGCUAAACCGUUAAUGCUACUCAUACCGUCAGCAGUGACAGGCUGUACAGACUCCGCCCACAUUUUCAUGCUUUCCUCAUAAUCACUGGAGAGGUACUUCUCCAAAUGAUUAAACAGAUCUGUUGUGUUGCUGGUUCUUGAGCGCACCGAUCGCCGACAUACCUCGCUCAUCGGCUUAUUUACUGGACGUCACUUUGGAGAUACCCGAACCACCGCCACACAACUGACGGUGAAUAACUUCUCAACAAUAACAAAAGCUCUGAUUGGCUGUUGUGACGCACAUUUCCUCUAUGUUUGAUCGAUAGCUGAUCACCGUGAUUGAACUGAAAUUUAUCACGAUCAUAUAAUCGCCCAGUCCUAGUCCAAGUGUGGUGGAGUAGUUUGACUCGACCACAUCCAGGUACCUGACUACACCCGAGCUUCACUUGCUGCUACUGCUGUUCACACACAAAGACUCUGUGAACCUGCGCCACACUCACCUCCACUGUCACAUGUCUCCCGUGUAGACCAUAAGCAGCCGACUGUGUUUCUGUGCCAGAGGAUAAUUGCAGCUAUAGGAGGGUAAGAAAUAAGAGAUCUGCUCAAUUAACCAAUACAGCACAGCUGAGGACAGCACCUGUGCACGGUGGAGCCCCGGCUCUUUUCCUGCAGAUAACAUGGCCGAUUACCCUCUGGAGUGUGCAGCCGCCGCUCUGCCGCUCGCUCCGUUACCUGGUGCGAGGCGGAGAAUAGCACAUGCAACCAAAGCAGUGUGUUUAAUCGCUCUCGGGGUGUUAAUAUGCACUCGUGUUCGGGGUGUAAUGAUGAGCAGUUCACCGGCUGCCAGGUUUGAACAGUUGGAUAAAACCUCCGUGGUUGUGUGGAGUCGUUCACUGGGAAAAAAGAGAUCCUGCUGUUUGUCUAUAUGAGCCUGAGUGAAAGUACCUGUUUACAUUAAGAGGUGUGUUAACCAGCAGGCUGGAGCUAUAAAGACAGGAAGCAGUAGAGAGCUGUUGGAAGAUGGUGAGAGGCUAAAAAUAAACCUGAAAGAAGGUACGCUUCACUCCUCAGUCUGUCUCUAAGACCUGUGCACUUUUUAAUGGAUAAAAACUCCUAAAAUAUAUAAAACAAAGUGAAGUGAAAUCUUUAAAGAGCAUUAUAUACGCUCUUAAAUGUAAAGACACGUAUCUUAUGUCACAUGAAAUGAUGUUUCUGCCUCCAUUAAAGCCCAAUAAUACCAGGAUACAUAUCAAACAUCAUCAUUAGAGGCUUUAAAGUCCGUCUUUUUUUUUUUUUUCGUCUGCUGCCAAACACGGCUUCACUCUGCAGUCAAUAAUUAGCUUUCCUGUCAUUCCCCCCCAUCGAUGCUCUACAUUUCAUGAUACCACAUCAGAAGAUCAAAUAAACUGAUGUCCCUGUCAGAGGGGUAAAAUAAACUCUCUGCAACCUGGUUCCCCUGCACGAACACACCAGACGAUUUCUGCUGGCAACAUUGCCCCGAAAAAGGCAGAGAAAGUUGCUUAGCAGAUGUCAGUUGUUGUGUUUAUCUCGGCGGUUUUCCUGCGCUCGUGCAUGGAUCUUAUAUCAAAGAGGGCUUAUCCGAAUAAAGUGCUUAAAAGCUUUUCAGACGCCUGGUGAUCUGAACAAUUUUUGGCUUGAUCUGCAGACUAAACAAACCAUAAUGAUGCAAGCUUGUGUAAAGAUGUACACAGCAGUCGAACAACAAAUGCCUGCGCUUGAUGUUUUUAUUAAUGUUUUCUCGUCUCCUUUUCAUCAGGUUUGUCUUUAUAUCUCCUCUGUUUUGGGGUGGAAACACCAGGGGGUGACUUCUUGUUUGCUCCUGCAGAGGUGCAAAGAAAAGGACGGACGUAAAUUCAUGCACAAAAACGAAAAAAGCAACGUGUCAUCUGCUGCUUCUGUCCUGGCCUUUGCAGAGUCAGAUUUCCCUCGGGAUGAGGGGGAUUUUUCUGUGCAACAUAAUCAAAAAUAUUCAAAUAUUCCUGCAGUCAGUCAGGGAAUGGAAACAAUCCUGCUGCAGAAAAGGUGUAUUUUCUAGGACGGUAUAAUAACUCCUGCUGUCGCAGAGAAGUAAAAGCGGCGACGGUGGCAGCGGCAUUAAGUUUUUAACACUCCCUGUAUUUUGUAACAAGGUUGGAUGUGUGAAGAAAGUUAGCAGACAUCCUCUCAAGACCUGCCCGUCUCAUUUCAAUGCAGAGAAAGGAGCGCCGGGGCUCUCCUCUGAAGUCACAACUUCUGGCUCACAUGAUGGGAGGCAGACGUCGGCGAGAUGUGCGCGCUAAAGCCAAUCAAAAGACCUGAAUUCUAUUUGUUUUGUUUCAAGGGAAGACGACAAAGGGGGCCUCAAGGUCUUCUUCAAGAUGGCUCUGAAGCCUGAAAGGAGGAAAAACCGGGGGAAGAGGGAGGACCGGGGCUUUCAAGUGCCCGUCCUUGGUGGGACCUUUGCCGCGGUGCCAGGUACACAGCUUUUAGGAGGGGCGGGGGCUGUUUUUUUCAUGUUAGUGCGUGGUUCGGGAGUUAUUAAUAUUCUCAAAGACAGAAUUUUCUCUCCCGGAUUGAAAUAAUGGAUCAUACUUAAAAGGGGAAGAACUCAUUUCAGGUUUUAAUACGGUAAGCCUGUUGGAACCAAUUAUUGGAGGUGCUUUGCCAUUGUCAUCUUGCAUUUCUCCUUGAGGAGAUUAACUGGCGACGCUGAAAAGGCCCCGCAGUAUCCGGGAUUUCGCUCAUUCCGAGAAUCUGCCUGAAAUGGAAUAUUUUUCUUGAUUUGUGUGUAUGUGUGUGCGUGUCAAGUUCCAGCAUGUUCCACGUAUUUUGGCUUCAUGUUCUACCUAAUUAUUGCAAUUUGAUCCUAAAGCAGGAGUGUCCUAAUCCUCUGCUGUACUGCAGAAAUCCUGUUUCAGAAACUUUGGUAAUAAAUUUGGCCUGUUUUAAUAGAGACUGGGAAAGUAGCGCUGUGACGGCAGAAGGACGGCCUCCCUGGGAAGAAGAUCCUCUGUCUCUCCUCACAUGCAAAUUCAUGCGCAGAGACAGAGGAGAAGGAGGAGGAGGAGGAGGAGGAGGAGGAAACUCGCUCAAAGUUGGAAGAAGUUGCAGAAGGAAGAAAGAAGAAAUCCCUCGUUUUCUUGUGUUCUUCCUUUCCUGACUGUCCCCUGAACGCUGGAGGCUCUGUGUAGAAGUGUGUGUGUGUGUGUGUGUGCAGAUGUGUGAGUAACAGGGUAACUUUAUCACCCACAAAGUUUGCCUCACAUAAAGCAGCAUUAUUCAAGCUCUGGGUUUGUUCUCCGAGCCGUACGUCACCUUAAAAGACUGAGACAGCUCUGCAAAUGUGGAAUAAUGUGGAACACAGAGUACCAGCGUUCUCUGCAAACACACGAGUUCACCUUCACUCUGCAGAAAGGUGUGUUGAACCCGCGGUCUGGGGUUCUAGUCCUGAUCCAAGAUGAAUCAAACCUGGAAACUGGCUUAUCCUUGUUUCUAGAUGGGUUUGUAGUCACCUGUAGUUGAGGUUUGCACACCUGAGUCAGAGGAACUCAUCUCUUGUGCAUCUGUUGUGUUAAUCUAGACGUUUUUAAUCUUUUAGAGUCAGCUGGUUCUGCAGAGGGCUGGGCGAUAAAACGAUAACGAUAUAUAUUGAAAAUUGAUUCCCCUCAAUAUCAAUAUAAAACAUGAUCAAUAUCCUUUUCAAUCAUCAGCUUACUGCCAUGUUUUGGUAGACUUUACAAAUUACUCCAGGUCCGCUUCACUCUCAACCAAUCCUGUGCUGAAUUAGAACCAAGUAUCAAACAACUGCGUCGUAGCAGACAGCCGCUACACCCAACCAUAGCACUUUAACAUGUAAAGCUGAAAAAAGAAAAUGGGUGCUAAUGACCACGUCGUCAACGACAACACUGGCGUUAGGAAAACGUCGGUGGUGUGGAGGUAUUUUGGUUUGUUGAGGUCGGACAUGAAGCAGAGUAAUGUGGACUGUAAAUUAUGUCGAGUACAUGUUCUCACAAAGUCGGGGAAUACCUCAAAUCUUUUUCACCGCCUAAAGCAGCGCCACGCCGCAGAGCACGCGCAACGCAAAAGGUUACAAAUCCCGAGAGGAGCGAGGAGCCCAUGGCGCCUGAAACAGACGACCAUUCAGUCGGCUUUCUCUAGAGCAACGCCUUACGACAAAACGUCAAAGAGACACAAAGACCUCACAGAUGCAGGAGAUUAUUGUGUUGUAAAAGACAUGAGACCAAUAAACACUGUUAGAUUUUUAUAUCCUGAUAUUGAUCGAUAUCAGCUGAAAUGAUAAAAAUAUAAAGUGAUAAACUUUUUCCCGUAUCGCCCAGCCCUAGCUCUGCACAAACUCCAUCAAACUAGAUCCUGUUCUGGUUUCUGGACUGAGUCUGUAGUUCUGCAUGAUCAUGAUGGAGACAGUAAGUUUUUAUACCCCCUCCAGCUGAGAUGUAGAUCAAGUUUCUCCUUUUGGUCUUUAGGACUCUCAGGACGACCUCUGCAGGUCUUCUUUAGGACCUCAGAUCCCACGUGGAGAACCAGUCUGAUAGCAUGUGUCCUCCUCACCCUGAGGUUCCUCUCCUAAAACACGAGUCCUUUCCUUUUCUCUCUCCUCCUGAAUCCCAUCCAGAGGAAUCAAAGAUGGAGGUGUUACACCUAAACCUCUCUGCAGGACACUCUCCUUUGUUAUUCUCUCAUAUCUCUCCUCCUCCUCCCUCCUCCACCUCCUCCUCCUCCUCCUCCUCCCCACCAGCACCAGGAGUGAGCAUCGUUCUCGGAUCAUUACUCCUCAAAGAAAUUUAAGCGCGGGAUGCCAUUUAAUUUUUUUCCCCCCUCCCCAAACGCAGUCCGUCAUUAGAAAUCCUCGCUGUCAUGCUGAUGCCAUUUUUGGUGCGCAGUGUUUGUUGCCUCAUUUCUUUUAAUUUUAUCUCCAUUAGCUUAAUUCUUUUUUAAUAUUUCCAUCUAACGAACUUUACAGUCCAUUUUGUCUCAGUGUCUUGCUAAGCGAGUUUUAUGAAGCAGGCAGUUGGCUUUUCCAUUUGAGAGCGGGCGAGGAGACGGGGAGGGGGGGUAAUCGAGGAGGGCCGCGCUGCUUUUGUCAGCUUAUUUUUGGCACCUUAGCUAGCAGUUCUGCUUCUUCGCCUUGAUUAUACAAGCAAACAACUGCAUGGAGUUCAUUAACAAUAAAGCACAGGCUAAUUAAGCCGAGCCCCUUAGACAAACCAGCGCUGUCAUGCCGCAUGUGUUCCUCACUGAUUGAGCCGUUAAAGAUUUACCUUCGCUCGACUUUUACCUCCUUCACCGCCGCCGCUGCCGCCUCACCACCGGGGCCUUCGCUCAUCUGUCUCUGAGGGCGUUCAACCUCGCAGAGCGUCAGCUGGGCUGUAAACAUUUGACUUCAAGGUACAGUGGCCUUACAAGGCCAAAAGAGCUGUUUACUUUCUGCUCUCCUCAGAGGCUCUUUUAACCCUGUAGGUGCUGGGACGACUCCUAUAAGAUGCAGCAGUUUGACCUGUUUGCAUGAAAAAAACCCACUAAUUUAUUAUGUGUCAAGACGUGAAAAAGACAACCUAAUAUGGCAGAACUUUCCAAUAUAGCUCAUGAACCUCUUUGAUUAUAAAUUGGAGCGAAUAUUCUAAAAUAAGGGGGCCAUGCUUUUUCACGAUUUCAGUACAGAGUAUGAAAACUGCUGCUGCCACGAAAUUUCAAAAUAUUUAAUGUUCUUGUCUACUUCUAGACUUCUAGAAUCAGCAUCUCCUCAUCCAUGGUGUCAUCGGGGUGAAAUGACGUCUAAAAACCUUUCACUUGUUCGUCUCCGCCCGUUUGCAUGGUGUGAAAUACGAUCCUCCUGAAACACGGAGUGUUUUAUUUUGAAAAGAAGCCGGAUGUUUUAUUUUGUGUCUGUGCCUGAGUCCGGCGAUCAGAGGAACGGAAAGAAGCUGAUGGAAAUUGACACAUUAACUUGAAUAGUUACGAUCAGCUACGAUCGGCUGUUACGGCCUUAUCGAAACCAGUACACCUCAGUAAUUCAAGGUACGUCUUAUGCUUCCCAACAGCAAACUCACUGCAAAGACAUGAUAAUGAAAGUGCUCCAGGCCUGCAGGGGGCGCUUAGUAAAACAGUUGAUAGUGUUUUAAUAUUGAUGGGUGUGAGUGAGGAAGAUGAAAUGAUGACGCCCGGAGUCUGGCUGCUUAAAAUCAAAACUUAAAAUCCUGGACUUAAUUGAUUAGAUAAACAAUCUAAAGUUAAAGAGCAAAAAAGAAAAAAAGUAAACUGUUAAAAGAAGAAAAAUCCAUCAACCUCUAAAAGGUCAGAAAUGUAAAUUUGGCUGCUGCAGCAUAACGUGUAUGUCCUGAUAGUUGAGCAGAGACUAAAUCCAUACCUGUUAAAUAAUCCGGAUCUCAGAUGUGAAAGGUUCCUGUCUAUCCGUGCAACAUCUCAGUGUUCCUGUUAGUCUGCAGGCUGAGAUGCAGCUCCAUAAAUUACGUGUGAAUCAGUCCCGUGUCUGCCCAGAGGUUGUGAGAAACACCAUUAGCAGAACGGCCCUCCAGCCCUUUGUUAAUGUAAUUUGCUUAAUUGCUCUGUAUCAGUGUACAGAUGAGACGUGUUCGCUCGCCGAGGUCCGCGGAGAGCGUUCUGGACAUAUUUAUUUUAAUACUCCCAUCCUCUUAUGGCUCCUGAUCCAUUUUUUAUUGCUUGAUGCCCGCUGACGACUCUCUGCAUUUGAUGAGGAGUUACUCUUGGAGGAAGAGUCAGGUUUGCUGGUUUGGUUUUGACUAAUUUAAACUCUUUGAAUGAAGAUAAUACCUGAAUAUAUGAACCCUCUCUCACCCUGAUCUUUCUAAAACCCAUUUAGCUUGACUUUAGCCGACUAUAAAAACCGGCUUCUUGAUUCAGGAUCCAAAUAAAUGUCCUCUCAGGUCUGUAUCAUGGAGGAAAUCUGAUUUACUGCGCAGUAAAGGCCUCCUGAUGAGAGGUUUCCAAACCCUCCUGCUCACGACUUGUUGGAGGAAUGACUCUGAACACCUGAACCACAACCUCGAUCCUCCACCCGUGUGUUUCCUGUAACCUUCCAGCUGCAGCUUCCUCCUUCAUCUCCUCCUCCUCGUCAUCGUCUUCUUCAGUGUCUCUGUUUCACCCCGGGGAGUGACGGCUCCUCGCUCCCCGCUGUGACGGCUCCUCUGUGGUGUUUAAUUACAGGGGAGGCCGAGGAGUCUUCCUCUCCUCUGAUGAGUCGAAGGAAGAGAGCGGCGGAGGCUUGGCCUUGAACCUGGUAACACGGGAGCGAGCCUUCUGAUUGGCUGUUUUUUUUUUUUGUACUUUUUGUGUUUUCACUCUCUGAUUACCUCCAUCGUUCAGCUUCAUCACUGAGGUUCAGAUUUUCUCACUUUAUCGACUUCUUUCUCAGCUGUUUGGAUUUGUAGCAGCAUUUAUAUGAAUGUUCCUGACUCCACAAACCUCACUGUCCUGACCGUGAAGAUCCUCUUCAGAGCAGUGAGAACAUUUAUGUCAUAAAAUUAAAUAACAUGUUUCACAGAAUUCCUAGAAAUAAGAUAAAAAGCAUAAAAAAUAAAGGCCUGACUGGAAUGUCCUUAUCUGCAGGGCAGUACGUCUUAACGUGACGUAAACGCCGUUAUUCGCCUUCAUCUGUUAAAGGUCCACAUCGUGACGUUUAUGAGGCUUUAUGCAUUCUUACAUUUUCUACUUUAGAAUCAAAUGAACCCUGCAGGCAGGAAAUGAGAAAAAUUAGGACAGAAAAUCCCUGAAAUGUAGAAAUGAGGGAGAGUUUCCUCCACUGGACCUUUAGGAGUUUCAGAAAUCUAAUCUAGAGACGUAAAACUCUCACUUUUGAGUGUAUUAGUCCUUUAAGGUUUGUUGCAGUGCGUCUUAAAGUCUGUGAGCGUCACUUUAAGCUCGAUUUUUAAGUAAGGACUAAAACCAGAGUGCCUGCAGGUAGAAACUCCCUCCAACUCUUUCUUCUCCCAAAAGGAGGAGAUGAAAAGAAACCUGAACAAAGACUCAGUCGGUUUGAGGACGACGGGCGCGACAUACGAGCCGUCAAACGGGGCCGAUAUGAAUCUGCGCUGUAAUUCAGAGAAAAAGAGAUUAGAAGCAGAUAAUGGUCUCAUAUCUCAAAAGUUAACAGUGAGGCCCGCGUGAACUGUGAAUAAUCUUAUAAUUACUGAUCUAAUGCCAUUAGGCCUGACAGAAAUAGAGAAAGCAACGCUUGGAUGGGGCACAGUUAAUCAAGUGUGCGCUCCCUCUCGUUGGAUCAUCAGUACCCGCGCGCACGCUCGGCCCACGACUGAUGAUAGGUAUGAGUUUAAAUGACAGCUUAAAGGAACAUUACGCCGCACUCAUAUUUGGUUAACUUCCCCGACCAAAUGGUUCAAAAACGUGACAUUUUUUUAAUGCGCCUCACUUUCAUUUCAGCCCCCUCCAUUUGUGAGCUCGUCUUUUUUUCACCCUCCACUUCAGGAGGAGUUUCCGUUUUUAUUCGCCCCGAUCCUUCUGACAUUUUUUUUUACUUUCUGCUGUUAGUUUUGAAAAGUUCCUCAUGUUUUUCUUUUUCUUAUUCGUUUCUUUUCUUUGAGAAGGAUUUUCCUCCUUUUUUUUCAGCCGCUCCUUUUGUCUCUGAUUACUCAUUUCUCAUUAAUAGCUUUGCCUCAAAUUCCUCUGACUUUAUUCUUCCUGUCUGAAGCCUCCCUGUCCUCUCUUUUUUAUUUUCUAUGCCUUGAUUUUUAAAGGUGUAUUCGUUUUUUCCUCCACCUUGAUUUUCGGGGCGUUCUUCCUCCUCUUUGUUGCCUUGAUUCGAGCGUUUUUUCUUGCCUGGGGCUGUUCUGCAGGCGAUAUCCAUCCUGACUGGAGUUCCCUCACCUUGCGCUCUCGUUUGAUCUCGACACACUCGCAGAGGCAGACUGCUGAUCUGUCCGUGUUCAGCGUCUGUUCCAGGUUGUUCUCACAAUGUGAGAAUAAUAACAAAAUAAAGCGCAGCGCCGGAGGCUUCCUUCCCGUCUCCCAUUCAUGUUGUUUUUCUUUUAUUUCUCAGUGUGUGGGAGAGAACGCUGUGACAAAGUGCGCACCCAGAGUUUGACAGUUUAAAGAAAAGAUCCGCCCUCAGAUUGUCAUCCGCCGUUUGAUCUCAUCAGUCUGUGAUGUUCAAUUUGAUGGCAAGUGUGUUCCUGGCUGAUUGUUGCUGCUGAAAUGCUCAUAUUGUCUUUAUUUGACCAGUGGGUAGAAGAAGAAGUAGAAGAAGAAGAAGUGUCUCUAAAAAUGUAAAACUAGCUGCGCUGGUAGAUGUCAGGAAGACUUAUGAUGAGUCUCUGCUCUCUGCUCAGGAUGGACAUGUUACAGAAAGAUGAAGUUGACUCGACUUUAAAGUCCUGUAACAGUUAGCGCUCAAUUUAGUCACAGUUUGACUUUGUUGAAGGACAGAAGACCAGCUUCUUUUUCAGAUUUCUCCUCUGUUAUCUCUCAGACUUGGCGUUGAGGUGAAAAGCAGUCAACAUUAUAAUUUACCUGCGCACGCUAUCAAGUCAAAACUUGCACAAAAUCAUGUUUCGUUGCAAAAAUGGUCCAGAGGAGAAACUCAGCAGGAGGCGAUUCUUAGUUGGAGAAGUGAAUCUGCAGAUUUAGACUCAGACAGGAAGACAAGAGUGGAAAAUUCCUGCUAGGUGUUUGUUGAGAUCGUACAGGUCGAAGGUUUAUAUUUAUGCCUGGUUAGUGUAUUUUUGUGUUAAUAUGGGACGAUGCUUUGGAGCUAAUGAAGGUCUGCAGGAAGAGCUGAGUUUAAAUCUGUGCAUGCGUCCCUCAGUGUGUCAGGAUCUCUCCGAGGUGCAUCUUUUGUUUGAUCAAACCCUGAAAAAGGGCUUUACGUUGUCUGUGUUAAUUGAAUUUUUUCUCACCGGCAGAGUUAUAGACCUGUAAAUGCACAAAACCAUCUUCUCUUCUUUGAUUUCCUUGUAAAAAUAGUAAUUUUAUGAAGACAGGGCUGAAAGGAGAGUGCAAACUUUCUGUAAUUUAAUGAUAAAAGUUGUGUUUCCUGUACAUGACCUGAUAAAAGACGUACAGUUCGAGGCUCUGUGCGGUUGUAGCUUUACUGUCAUGGAUGAAAGUGUCCUUUUUCUGCCUCGACUUUGAAGCUCUCACAGCACUAACUGUUUCUUUUCCCCACGACCGCACGAACACGGACGAGCAAAUUGUUUUUUUAACUUAAAAAGGAUCAUACCUUUAGCUGAUCUCCGUCUCAUCUGACUGAAACAACGCGCUCAGAAGCUCCAGGAAUAAACAAAUGUGUCGGAUCACUUUGACGCUAAUGGUGUCUCCCCAGAUGAAGUUCCAAAAUAUUCAAUCUUUAUUUACAGGCGGCUACGUUUUGGGAGCCUCGAGAGUCAGACUUUUGAUUACACAACCUGCCAUCUCUGUUGGACGUUGGUCUUCCAGGGAAUAAACAUGGCCCAUAAUUAGAGGAACAUGCAGAUCUGCUAGAUGAGCGGUGAUGGUGGCGGGCUGACUGGACUGGUCUCUGGGCGGGGAACGGCGAUAAUGAAGGCGUUUUGAAUUUGGGUCUGAAAGUGGACUGAUGUGCUCCCAAACGGCUCCCCCUGACUGUUUGGGAGGGUUCAAACUUUUUCCUCAGCUUUGUGGCUUUGUUCUUUCUCACUUCACACAUAAUCAGGGUGUGUGUUAGUGUGCGUGUGUGUGUUUGUGUCUGUGUGUGUGUGUGUGGUGUGACAGAGGGGACUGCACAACAUGUGGGACGUCCACCAUUUGCAGAAACAGACACCUGCGACUGUUUUUCUCUGGGAAACUGAUUUCUUUAAUGUUAUCAACAGUUGAAAUCCUCUGAAGCGGAUGUAAAAUCCUGUAUGUGCUGUAAAAUUGGGCUCAUUUUCAGACUCUAAAAAUAGGCUGUGUCCUAUUUAUCUGUGUGACCGAUAUAUACACACACACACAUGCAGAGGUAUUUUCUGUUUCUUUUUACAGCAUUUUACCGCUUUAAUCUAGUGACACCCUCUGGGCUACAGUACAGUGUGUGUAAAGACAUAACUAUUUGUUUGUACCAGGCAGUGUACAUGUGUUUAAUUUUGCUGUUAAAGUUGUUUUUUUAACAUGGGUGACAAUGAAGAUAAUUGACUUUUAAAGCCAGCCUCUAGUGGACACUUUUAGAACUGCAGUUUCUUUAGCACUCGAUCAAAUUCCUAAAGAGUUUGAGCGCUGAGUGUAAAAAUAAACUUUAAAAUUUCAGAGAUUUUAUUGCCUAAAUGUUUUAUUUACAUUUAUAUUCUCCUUCUUAAAGCUUAAUUUCUAUCAAUGAAACUCAUUUUUCACAUUCCAGUCAAUCCAGUGUCUGAAAAGCAAACUGAAAACAUACAUUUUCAGUCUUGCUUUUAACUAAAUUCUAUAUUAUUAACUUUAGGAGUUUUAGCAUGUAUCUCUUUCUAGAUUUCUAUUUUGGUGCUCUUAUUUUAGUCUCUUUUACUGUUAUUUUUAUUUCUUUUUAUUUAUUACUUCUUAAAUUUAUUUAUUUUUUUCAAUUUUGGAUUUUAAACUCUUAUCUUGAGUUUCAAAAUGUGUGCUCACUUUUUUUUUUUCCAUGAAAUUGAGCCCUUUUUUAAGUUUGUGCAUUUUAAUCCUGUUCUGUUGUAUUUAGAUCCUGAGGUGGGAAUGAGGGGUUGGGCUGGGGUAGAUUUGGGUUUUCUUUGUUUCUUGUGCUGCAUGGUCAUGUCUGAAAAGUGCUUUAUAAAUAAAGACUGACUAAUUGAUUGAUUAAAGGUUCAAAAACAAGCAUACGUUAGCUCUGUAGCUCCAUGAGGAGACAAUCACUUCAUGUUAUCUUUGACAUUAAGAUGUUAGAAGUGUAAUAUUUUAACAUUUCUGUAGUUUUUCCUGUUUUUAGAUCAUUUUAACGUGAAGCAGCCUCAUGCUUUCAUCCAAACCUCCGUCAUUUAUCAGACAUCAGGCGCUGGAGUCUGACUCUGAGUCUGCUGGAGUUUAAUUUUAAGAAUUGGCCUCCAACUGAAACAUCUUAAGCCCCUCCCACAUUAAGAGCCAGUCAGCCAAUCAGACUGCGCCUUCCUCUGCAGCUCUGCUUUAUAAAAAUAUUUGAACAGCUAAGACUUCAGUCUGUGAUGAAAUAUGCCCAAAAUAAAGUCUUAAUUUUCACGUUAAUACCCUCUGUGCUUUUAUUUUCCUAAAACAUCAAACACAGAUGACUUCCUCUCUGAAAAUAACUGACAGCCCUCAGACGUGACACACUCCGAGUGAGUGAGUGAGUGAGUGAGUGAGUGUGUGUCACUGUACACAUAUGGGCCAGCACAGUCACACUCACCAGUUUGCAGGCUGUGUAGUGUCACUGAAGGUGUGUGUGUGCGUGUGUGUGUGCAUGUGUGUGUGUUUUGAGUGGUUGUGAAACAUGAUGUGACGGCAGCGGGCGAUCCCACGAGGGGCCCUCGGUGUCAUGUCGAAAAAAUACCAUAACAUGUGCAUUACACUUAAGUGAUUCUUCUUCCAUCUGCUGAGUACGACAGCAUUAGCAUAGCCGUUUAAUUAGCAUCCCCCUUUAAUCACCUCCUCCUAUUUACUCAGACACGGGGAGCAGAGGGGCGCUCAUUUAAGACACACAACACCAGUGAGAGUGAUGAGACACACGAUUGAUGGAGGAGAGACCAGGUUCUUUUUUUUUCUUUUUUUAAUGCAAACUUUAUUUAAAUUUACAAACCAGGACGUUAAGAUUAACUCUGAGGUGAAAUUGUGCAUCAAACUCACCUUUUCAGCUGUUUUUUCUCUAGUAUUUGAAGUCAUUUUUCAAACCAAACUAUCAUAGAUAAGGUCAGAGGUGUUUUCAAAGAGUCAAAGCUUCUCUGACGGAAAUGCAAGGACAAAACUGCAGCAGAUUAUAUCUGCAGAAAGUCGUCUUUGGGAUGUUCCAGCUGUUCUUUACAGACAUUAUUAUGGACAUAGCUUUGUUGUUGUUGUUGUUGUUAUUGUCUGUUUACAGCAGCUGGAAAUUCCCUCGUACAGCUGACCUAAAGAAUACCUUUUCUGCAGAAACUGAUAUCAUGACGAUGCUAUUGUGCUUUUCUUUAUUAAAGGUGUCUUAGAGGAAUAAUCUCUUUGCUUUGGGAAGAUUAUUAAUUAGAUUAUAUUCAGAUAUAUUGUCAUUAUCUAAUCUCAGGCUAAAAUGGAGAGAGUCUGCAGAAGGAGCAACUGCAGGACUGAGCUCUUAUUGGGGGAAUUUAUCCAUCAGUUUACAUGAUGUUGUUGAAUCUUGUCUGUCUGCGAUGUGUAGAUGCAGAGGGAGGCUUCCUGACACUGGCUGGCUUGUAUAAUAGGAAUUUAUCACAAAGACAACACCAGUAUCAGAACAGCACUGCAGUUACUGGGAGAGAAACCAGAGUUUGUGAUCCUGUUAUGUAGGGUUAGAGGUUUUAGGUCCUCCUACAUCCUCUGUUUAUCUUUAAGUUAUAUUUCUUUACCAUCACUAUCAGUUUUUAUUGUGCCCCUAAAGUUCUUUGUGCUCCUUGUGAAAAAAAAAAAAAGUGUCAAUCUCUGAAGUCUGACUUUUUUUCUUUUUUACCUUGUGAAAAUGUUUCAUUCAGGUUUCAGGAUGAAGCUGUUGUGCCUCCUUGAAUCACUUAAAUCUGUCUGAGUAUAAACCUGAUAUUCUGAAAUUAUACAGUCAACUCAAUCUUUCCUGGACGUGUUGGAGUGACUCAGUGGUUCAGUUCAGUGAAGUUUGAUUCCUCUUUCUCGCACCUUCAUCCUAAUGAAUCUUCCAUUAGGUUUCUAACAGUAAAGAGAAAGAUGUCACCCUCCUCUUCUCAUCUUCAUCAGAACAAAGCAAACACAUCUGAUCGUCCUUUCACCCCCUGCUCUUUCUCUCCCUUUCAGAAUAAAACCAUCAAGGAUGGGUGGGUGGGAUAAAAAAUUGGGAGCCCCAGUGAAUGGCUUACAUUUACAUUAAUGAACUUGAUUUGAAUGGAGGUUCAUAUCAAGCCUCAUAGAUUCUGCGCUGUGAUUUUAUUAAUUGCAACAGAGGCGUCAUUGUUUGUCGUUUUGACGCCAAUUCAAUUAAAAUCCCAUUUAGAGGGUAAUAGAUUAGGCGGCGUAAACUUUAUGUGACUAAUAUGAAAGCUCUGCUGCUAAACUAACUGCUGUGUGUUUCCAUGCACGUGCACUCUCUCUCUCUCUCUCUCUGUGCAUGUGUAUCAGUCAAUCCUGUAGGUGUUCAGUGUGUGUGUGUGUGUGUGUGUGUGUGUGUGUGAGGAAUCGCUGCCAGCAUCUGUGCAGCUCGGCUCACUUUGAUUCAUAAUUGGUCGUCUUUUGAAGGAAUUAGCAGCUUGUAAUUCUAUACUUUAAUUUGAAUAUUCACAGUAAAGAUGUGUAGGAGCCGUUCAGUCUGCUGUUGUGAACUAAUUACAUUUUAUAUAGCUGCCUUUAAUUGUGGUGUUAAUCACAUGGUGAUAUAUUAACCUCAGCUCAGUCUGUGUGCCGCUCUCAUUUGAAUAUUAGCUGAAAUGUUAGCAUGAGUGCAGGAGGAGCGGGUUUAUUCCUGGUCAUUAUGGGUGAGUUAUUUCAGGAGACAGUGAUGGUUUCAGGACGGUUUGUUUACUUUGGAGAUGUGUUUUCACGUCAGUGUGAGGGGGGCGUCCUUUCAGAGGACCCUUUAUCUGUCUUCUGCUCUUGUUUUUGCACAAAUAUGAUCUGACCCUGAAUAAAAAUAUUGAUCUCUAGACACGAUAAAGAGGCUGCAGGUCCGAGUGAAGACAGUCCUGACUUCGUUUCACUCUCCUCUGAGUCGGUUUAAAACUCUCUUUCUGAUUUAUUUUAUCUGAUAUUUCUAUUUGGAUGAAAAUUUUGAGUUCCUGUGUGGUUUCCAGCUCUUCACACUCACUCACACACACACACACACGCUGAGUCCACAGAUUUUACAGCACAGAUGAGCUACUUUCAUGUAAAUGAAAACAUCAUGUUGAUCCAAUCAUAAAACAGUCAGUUUACAUCUUCACGUAGUGGAUUUCAGUCAGUAAAACAGUCUUUUCUCCCGCCGUAAAGCUGAAUCACUGAGUAUUAUAAAUCUAAACCAGAUUCUGCUCGCUUUAAUAACCCUAAUCCUUUCAUAUCAGAGCACUAAUCACACUUUUCUCCUUUAUUGAUACAGCACAGGUGUAUUAUUUACUCCCCGUGUUUCUCUGUCUGCAGAUUUCUCCUCCAACCAGCCUAAUCCAGCACCUGUGCUCAAACUCCUGCCAAUACAAACUCACCGUGUUUUCCUCCUCUGCUACAAGUCUGCUAAUUCACCCGGAGGAGUCGAGCGAAGUGCACACAACCACUCGGAGGGAGUGUUCUGCAUUAAAAAUCCUUUUGAGCCCGUGUAAGUUUGAGAAGAGGAGGAAAAGAAAAAAAAAAUCGGUCUUUAAUAAUGCACAACCUGAGACGACGGCACAGAGCAAUAUACAUUUUUAAUUACUAAAGUGACUAAUAUCUAGGUUUGGCUUUGAGGUUUUUGUCCCAUAAAAAAUGCAUUUCUGUUUUGUUCCCCGCAGCGGCGUCGGAUACACACACCUGAGCGGAGCUGCGGGCUUUUAGCGCCGAGGAGGAAGUUCAAUAACACGAGGCGUUCAGGUACUACAUGCAAAUAAGUGGAUGUGAAUUUUAUGAGGGGGGAAAGUAAGCCAUGCAUACCUAAAUACCUGUCAGGUUGCAGGAAGUCGGCCUAAUAACAGCCUGAGAGAGAGAGAGAGAGAGAGAGAGAGAGAGUGAACUCCACUUUGCACCUCAUGAGCUGCAGCCUCUGCGUAGAACAGAUCAGAUCUGAUGUUUAAAAGACGGACAUUUGACGCUCCUGUCUUUAAAAUCAGAUUUUUAGGUGCAGGUGACACAUGCAGGUCGAUGCAAAGGAGGUGUGUGUUAUAAAAAAAGAAGAAAAUUGUGCGGAUUACACAUCUCCUCUCAGAAAAGAGAUCCUAACCAACACAAACCCUUUUUUAUUUCAUGUCUUUAACCUCAAUUUAAUCGAACAGUCUGUGCAUUUUCAAGAAACGACAUUUUCAAUCCGACCAGAGCGUAAAAAGUUCCAUAAAAGGAUCAAAUGCAGAAUAUGCAGAACUUGCAGAAGAUGAGGGACGUGUUUUCUGAAAUUUAAAGUCUGAGAGUUAAAAAAAAAAUGUUCUUGAGUUUUAAAAAAUCAACAGCGGUCCUGUUGGAGGAGUGAAAUCAGGAUAAAAAACACUGAACAGAGCAGGAUUCAGGGCUGCCGCCGCAGCUGAAGACGCUCCAAACGAAACAGAUUUUCUGCUUCUUUCUUGGACUUUCUCGAGGUGAUGCAGAGUACUUUUGCACAACGGGGGGCGAGAAGGGACAAAAAAGAGAAUUUUGCUGUGUGCAAAGUGUGUCUUUCUUCACACUUUCCCCAUUUGUCUGUGCAUUAAUUGGAGAGCCUUCCCUUUUUAGAUGGAGUGCAUUAUUUAUGACGCAGCCUCAAACGCGCAGAAGACUUCCUCACACACACUCACACACACCAAGACAACCAAGAAGGCUCUCCUGACACCAGGCUCGUCUCCUGAGUGAGCCGGCGAGCGCCGAUCCAGCCUUACCUUAGCUUUCCCUCAUAAAUUAAAGUUAAAUGAACACGCUGAGAAAGUAGCUGUGGCCUUUAAGUGAAGAAGUAAGUCAUUAAUCAAUCAUGUGUCUCGUCACUCCGCCCACACCCCUCGUUUUAAAAAACCAAUGUCCAAGGGGAGAGCCGGCUGCUAACCAGAGUUUUACAUCCCACAUCUCGAGUUUCUCAAAGAUCUACAGAGUCUGCAGAGCCCAGAAGGGAGAGCCAACCUACCUAAUUUGAUUUUUGAUAACUUAUUCCUUCACUUCACACAGGCCCCGGUUUGAUGUCGUAUGCCGUUUCUGUGCACUUAGCUUCUCCUUUCUUGCACAUAAACUCCCUGCAUCACCGCGAGCUACUUUCUUCUCCUCUUAGGAGAAGACAAAGAAGAGAAAAACCUUCCUGCUUUCUUUUUUUUUUUUCUUAAAGGCCCAAACCAGCGACAGGCAGGCUCCUUUUUUUUCCUCCCCACCCGUGUCGAUCCGUACCGGCGGGGGGAAAGUGUUUACCACGACUUUUCAAAGUUCAAUCAACGCAAUAUGAUGUCAAUUAAAGGUGACAAAGAGUUUAACACUUCCAUAUGCGGCGGCAGAGCUUCAAAACCACAGACUCUGACUUUGGGAGUGGAACUAUUAAGCGGGUGCCAGAAAAUGUGCCAAGUGUCCAUAUGUCUCAUAAGGUGCUCUUUUUUUAUUUUAUUAUCCUUCAGAGUGAGAUUUGUCCUCAGCAACCCCAGACUUUCUUCAUUAAGUUAGUUAAAGAAGGAGAAAAAAACAGCACUUUACUCCUCCGCCUUCUUUCUCCAAUUAUUUUUUUAAUUGUUGGAUUCUUUUAUGACUUGAAAGAGGCCCAUGUUUUCUUCUUCUUCUCUCCUGGCCUCUCGCUGUAGUUUUCUGCUUUUGCUUGGCUCCUCUUAGCAAGAUUCGGUCGCUUGUAAAAAAAAAAAAAAAACCUCCCGUCUGUUUCGUUAUCUCCUCAUCCCAUCCACUCCAAGGAACGUUUGCAGAGUUUUCUUCCAAAAUAAAAAAACAGAGAGAGAUGCACCGUUGUUUUCUGCCAUCCUGUGAAAAACCUCACGACUCAGAAUCGGGUUAUUUAAAUGUAGUUAAGGCGGCACGCUGCUCUGCAGAGAUUAGAAAAGUCCACAACUGUCUGGCUGCACGCAAACCUUUCAAAAGCAGUAAACAGUUUAAGUAAACCAGAAUGCGGUGCCAUCGAGUUAAAUAAAGCAGCUUUUCUGACUUCCUGAAAAGUUGACAUGGAGAUGGAAGGUUUUUACUCGACAGAAGAAAACUGGAAAAAGAAAGAAGCACAAAUCCAGCAAACAUUAAGACGAGCGAGGAGACAGAUUGCUCUAAAUGGGAUGAAGCGGAGUAAAUAAGGCAGGAAAACGAAGUCCAGGACUGAAGCUACCUGCACUUUACCAGAGCUGAAAAAAACAAACUUAGGACAGAGUUAAAGUUAAUUUUUAAAAAAAGGCCCAAAUAUUCAGUUUUCAUUCUCCUCUUUCUUUAAAUUUCACCCAAACAGGAGAGAUUUUAGAGAAAUGUCGCGUAUUCACGCUCAGAUUUUCCUCGUUCAUUCAGCUCCGUAAAGGCUCCGGAGUUUGACGAGGAAACACGGUCACAAGUGUGGGUUUGUUUGGUGGAGCAGAGGUGGUGUGUUUUAUUUAGAAGAGAAGGG